AUGUUGUUGUGGCAGAUGGAUAAAUCUAGAAAGAAACAAGAAGAAAAGGAAUUUGAGGCGGCCAUGCUUGCAUUUGCUUUGGAUGUGGCGUCGUCAAGUGUGACACUGCCGUACGCAUCAAGAAAGUUACAUUUUGUUACAGGCCUCCAAUGGGUAGAAGAGAAGGAGAAAGAUGCAAAAUCUUUCUAUGCUAUGUUCAGAAUGAGGAGGUCAGUGUUUCGCACAUUGCAUGAUCUGUUAGUUCAGAAGUAUGGGCUUGAGUCAACUUCCAACAUUUCAUCCAAAGAAGCAUUGGCACAAUUUUUAUGGACUGUGGGUACAUGUCAGACAACUGACAAUGUCGCAGAUCAGUUUGCACAUAGUCGUUCUGUCAUUAGUAAAAAAUUCCACGAGGUUUUGGAGUGUGUAGACCGCAUGGCCGGUGAUUACAUAAGACCAAUUGAUCCAACUUUCUCUGAACCACACCCAGUUGGCCUCAUUUUCAACAUGCUAUUGGAGCCAUUGAUGGAACACACAUUAAGGUGA
rnacentral:rRNA from 1 species